rnacentral:snRNA from 1 species
AACCCGUCGGCUGUCAGCG